rnacentral:rRNA from 1 species
UGGAGCUUUAAACCCAACAGCACCCGUUUAUUUUCAUCCUCACAUAAGUUAGGUUAUGCCUGUUUGGUUUUAGGUUGGGGUGACCACGGAGUAUAAAACAACCUCCAUGAAAAAAGGACCAAAAAUCCUUAUUAGAGAAAGACAUUUCUAAAAUUAAUAAAUUAAUUUUUAAUGAUCCGAUAUUCGAUCAACGAACCAAGUUACCCUGGGGAUAACAGCGCAAUCCACUUCAAGAGCUCCUAUCGACAAGUGGGUUUACGACCUC